GUGUUUUUUUUUUUUUUUUAAAGACCUUGCUCACAGAUUCAUGAAUAAUUGUUAUGAUGUUGGCUUGGAGUUUCAACAAGAAGCUGAUAAAUCUACGCCCACAGCAGAUGGGUUUUGAAUGCAGAAAACUAAUGAUAGAUUAAUAGAAUCUCCACUUUAGUGUCAAUUAAUCUACUUAUAUAUGUGGACUUGUCAGUUUCUCUUGUUAAUGGGAAUAUUCAUAUGUGAAUUUGCUAGGUUUUUUUUUUUUUUU
rnacentral:misc_RNA from 1 species